rnacentral:rRNA from 1 species
AGCGAACAGAAAAGGAGCUUGCUCCUUUGACGUUAGCGGCGGACGGGUGAGUAACACGUGGGCAACCUACCCUAUAGUUUGGGAUAACUCCGGGAAACCGGGGCUAAUACCGAAUAAUCUCUUUUACUUCAUGGUGAAAGACUGAAAGACGGUUUCGGCUGUCGCUAUAGGAUGGGCCCGCGGCGCAUUAGCUAGUUGGUGAGGUAACGGCUCACCAAGGCGACGAUGCGUAGCCGACCUGAGAGGGUGAUCGGCCACACUGGGACUGAGACACGGCCCAGACUCCUACGGGAGGCAGCAGUAGGGAAUCUUCCACAAUGGGCGAAAGCCUGAUGGAGCAACGCCGCGUGAGUGAAGAAGGUUUUCGGAUCGUAAAACUCUGUUGUAAGGGAAGAACAAGUACAGUAGUAACUGGCUGUACCUUGACGGUACCUUAUUAGAAAGCCACGGCUAACUACGUGCCAGCAGCCGCGGUAAUACGUAGGUGGCAAGCGUUGUCCGGAAUUAUUGGGCGUAAAGCGCGCGCAGGCGGUCCUUU